CUGGUUAUCAAAAACAUCUCCCUUAGAAAUAAAAACUUUAAAGGUAUUCUCUGCUCAAUGAAUUUUCAAUAGCCGCAGUAUCUUGACUGUGCUAAGGUAGCAUAGUAAUUUGUCUUAUAAUUGAGGACUGGAAUGAAAGAGUUGACGAUAUUUUAACUUUCCUAAGAGAGCUGAUGGAACUUGACAUCUUCAUAAAAAGGUGAAGAUAGUUUAAAGGGACGAUAAGACCCUAUAAAGCUUUACAUAAUGAGUUAUAUAAAAGCUAGGUGAGAUGUAUUACUCCUUGUGUUGAGCUGGGGCGGCUUCCAUAGAUUCACUGGAAAAGUUAACAUUCAUAAAUGAAUAAAAAGAUCUUACAUGAGAUUUAGAAUAAGCUACUUUAGGGAUAACAGCACAAUUUUACCAUAGAGAUCUUAUCGAAGGUAAAGACUUGUGACCUCGAUGUUGAAUUGAAGGGGCGCUUCCAAGUAGAAAUGGGAGUGGAGGGUCUGUUCGACCCAUAAUUCUUCACAUGAUCUGA
rnacentral:rRNA from 1 species